rnacentral:rRNA from 1 species
AUUGAACGCUGGCGGUAUGCCUUACACAUGCAAGUCGAACGGUAGAGGGGCAACCCUUGAGAGUGGCGAACGGGUGAGUAAUACAUCGGAACGUGCCCAGUCGUGGGGGAUAACGUAGCGAAAGCUACGCUAAUACCGCAUACGACCCGAGGGUGAAAGCGGGGGACUCGCAAGGGCCUCGCGCGAUUGGAGCGGCCGAUGGCAGAUUAGGUAGUUGGUGGGGUAAAGGCCCACCAAGCCUGCGAUCUGUAGCUGGUCUGAGAGGACGGCCAGCCACACUGGGACUGAGACACGGCCCAGACUCCUACGGGAGGAAGCAGUGGGGAAUUUUGGACAAUGGGCGAAAGCCUGAUCCAGCCAUACCGCGUGCGGGAAGAAGGCCUUCGGGUUGUAAACCGCUUUUGUCAGGGAAGGAAUCUUCUGGGUUAAUACCUCGGGAGGAUGACGGUACCUGAAGAAUAAGCACCGGCUAACUACGUGCCAGCCGCCGCCGUAAGAC